GCUCCAGGGGAAGGCCUCGGAGAAGAUGUCCCUCUACCCCAGAGUGCUCAGCUGCAUAAAAAAAACUCGGAGCACAGAUUUCCAAAUUUUCCGUUUUUGGUGAUUUGAUCGUGGCGCCUUAAGGCUGGGUUUGAACCUGCCAUCUCCGGCAUAUGGGGCCAGUGUCCUACAGAGGAGGAUACAGUGUUCCAUCAACAAGGUGCCAUCUUGGAAGCAGAGCCCAGGGCCUCCUCAGACACAACUGCCAGUGCCUUGAUCUUGGUCUUGCCAGCCUCCAGAACUCUUUGAAGAACAGGCUGCCUUGAUGUGAGCUGCUGGCCGGAGAGAGCCACAUAAGGAGCUGAGAAUGGCUUUUGGCCACAAGUCAGCAAGGGAUUGGAGUAAUCAAGCCCGCAGCCUGCGAGAAACUGUCCUCCCCCUAUAGCACAUGAGCUUGGAAGAUCCCUCCCCAUUCUGCAGCUGAGACCACUGCUCUGGUCAGCAUUUUGAUUGAAGCUCUGUGAAACCCUAAUACAGAAUACCCCACAGACACUCUGAUGUAAUAAAUGUGUGUUGUUUUAA